rnacentral:rRNA from 1 species
AACGAACGCCGGCGGCAUGCUUAACACAUGCAAGUCGAACGGGCUUGUUGGUUUCGGCCGACAAGUUAGUGGCAGACGGGUGAGUAACGCGUGGGAACGUACCCUUUGGUUCGGAAUAACGAUUGGAAACGAUCGCUAAUACCGGAUAAGCCCGAGAGAGGAAAGAUUUAUUGCCAAAGGAGCGGCCCGCGUUAGAUUAGGUAGUUGGUGGGGUAAAGGCCUACCAAGCCUGCGAUCUAUAGCUGGUCUGAGAGGAUGAUCAGCCACACUGGGACUGAGACACGGCCCAGACUCCUACGGGAGGCAGCAGUGGGGAAUAUUGGACAAUGGGGGAAACCCUGAUCCAGCAAUGCCGCGUGAGUGAUGAAGGCCUUCGGGUUGUAAAGCUCUUUUACCUGUGAAGAUAAUGACGGUAGCAGGGGAAUAAGCUCCGGCUAACUUCGUGCCAGCCGCCGCGGUAACAC